UGGGGAAAUUUGCACAAUGGGCGCAAGCCUGAUGCAGCCAUGCCGCGUGUAUGAAGAAGGCCUUCGGGUUGUAAAGUACUUUCAGCGGGGAGGAAGGCGAUAAGGUUAAUAACCUUGUCGAUUGACGUUACCCGCAGAAGAAGCACCGGCUAACUCCGUGCCAGCAGCCGCGGUAAUACGGAGGGUGCAAGCGUUAAUCGGAAUUACUGGGCGUAAAGCGCACGCAGGCGGUCUGUCAAGUCGGAUGUGAAAUCCCCGGGCUCAACCUGGGAACUGCAUUCGAAACUGGCAGGCUAGAGUCUUGUAGAGGGGGGUAGAAUUCCAGGUGUAGCGGUGAAAUGCGUAGAGAUCUGGAGGAAUACCGGUGGCGAAGGCGGCCCCCUGGACAAAGACUGACGCUCAGGUGCGAAAGCGUGGGGAGCAAACA
rnacentral:rRNA from 1 species